ACUUUAAUUGAAGAGUUUGAUCAUGGCUCAGAUUGAACGCUGGCGGCAGGCCUAACACAUGCAAGUCGAGCGGUAACAUUUCAAAAGCUUGCUUUUGAAGAUGACGAGCGGCGGACGGGUGAGUAAUGCCUGGGAAUUUGCCCAUUUGUGGGGGAUAACAGUUGGAAACGACUGCUAAUACCGCAUACGCCCUACGGGGGAAA
rnacentral:rRNA from 1 species